GACGAACGCUGGCGGCGCGCUUAACACAUGCAAGUCGAGCGGUAAGGCCCUUUCGGGGGUACACGAGCGGCGAACGGGUGAGUAACACGUGGGUGACCUGCCCUCAGCUCUGGGAUAAGCCUGGGAAACCGGGUCUAAUACUGGAUAUGACUCCAUGACGCAUGUUGUGGGGUGGAAAGCCUUGUGCGGCUGAGGAUGGGCCCGCGGCCUAUCAGCUUGUUGGUGGGGUGAUGGCCUACCAAGGCGACGACGGGUAGCCGGCCUGAGAGGGCGACCGGCCACACUGGGACUGAGACACGGCCCAGACUCCUACGGGAGGCGAGCAGUGGGGAAUAUUGGACAAUGGGGAAACCCUGAUCCAGCAAUGCCGCGUGUGUGAAGAAGGCCUGG
rnacentral:rRNA from 1 species